rfam:Bacillus gobiensis strain FJAT-4402 chromosome.
GGGUGAUGCCUCCCAACCCCUAUCAAGUGAGGCACUCGGCUUUGCUGUGGGUCAUUGCACCUUAGACGCGAGUCGUCAUUAGCAGAGUGUGAGGACGGGUUAGAUGCCCA